rnacentral:rRNA from 1 species
UACGAAGGGGGCUAGCGUUGCUCGGAAUUACUGGGCGUAAAGGGCGCGUAGGCGGACAGUUAAGUCAGAGGUGAAAGCCCAGGGCUCAACCCUGGAAUUGCCUUUGAUACUGGCUGUCUUGAGUGCGGGAGAGGUGUGUGGAACUCCGAGUGUAGAGGUGAAAUUCGUAGAUAUUCGGAAGAACACCAGUGGCGAAGGCGGCUUUCUGGCCCGUUCUUGACGCUGAGGCGCGAAAGCUAGGGUAGCAAACGGG